GCCUUUGUGGUGUAGUGGUCAGCACGCUCGACGCGUAACCGAGAGGUCCGUGGUUCGAUUCCCGGCGAAGGCG
rfam:Stegodyphus mimosarum contig106035, whole genome shotgun sequence.